CCUACGGGAGGCAGCAGUGGGGAAUAUUGCACAAUGGGCGAAAGCCUGAUGCAGCGACGCCGCGUGAAUGAAGAAGGCUUUCGGGUUGUAAAGUACUAUCAGCAGGGAAGAAAAGAGUAGGGUCCUUACUGAGAAGCACCGGCUAACUACGUACCAGCAGCCGCGGUAAUACCUGGGGGGCCAGCGUUAGCCGGACUUACUGGGUGUAAAGGGAGCGGAGACGGUGCGGCAAGUCAGAAGUGAAAGGCAGGGGCUUAACCCCGGAACUGCUUCUGAUACUGGCAUGCUAGAGUGCUGGAGAGGUAGGUGGAAUUCCUAGUGUAGCGGUGAAAUGCGUAGAUAUUAGGAGGAAUACCAGUGGCGAAGGCGGCCUACUGGACGGUAACUGACGUUGAGGUUCGAAAGCGUGGGGAGCAAACAGGAUUAGAUACCCGAGUAGUC
rnacentral:rRNA from 1 species